GGCUAAGGAACGGAUGGGGACGCCUGCUUCUCUCCACUUCGCCAUUGGGUGAAAAACCUAGCCAGCACUCCUCCCGUCCCCUGCAGCCAUCGCCGCCAGUGCGCUCCCGUCACCCUCUCCUCCCAUUCCUCUCCCGUCACCAAGCUCGCCGCCGUCGCUGCUCUCCCAUCAUCCGCCGUCGGUGGUGCAGGACGCCGCUCGCGUCGUGGGAUUCGGCAGCAGGAGGAGGAGCACCCGCACCUCGUCAGCCGCCGCCGAUGCGAGGAGGGAGACCGUGGAUGGAGAUCACGCGGUCCGCCGCCGCCGUGGGAUGAGGAGCACCAGAGGAUCUACUUUCCUCUUGGCACCAAAUCCAAGUACACAACCCCUCCCGCCGCCGCUUUCUUCCUCCUCGCUCCCCCACCCCAAACCACCCGCCGCCUACGCCGGCGACCUCGCCGCCGUGCGCCGUCCUCCGCCCUCCACCCACUGUCGCCGACCCCAGCCUCUCACCCUAUCUCCCUACCCGAGGCCCCAAAUCAAGCAGCAGGUCAGGGGCGGCUAGAUCCACCACGGCCGCCGCGGCGCGUCCGGUCCCGCGACAGAGGUGCUCGAGGGCGGCCGCGUCUGCGCCAGGAGAAGAGGACGUGGCGGCCACUGCCGUCGUUCUCGGCCUCUCGGGCGACCACGAGGUUCCUCUGCUCCGACCCUGUGAAGGCCUCGAGGAGGUGGAUGAGGACCUGAGAUUUAAAUCUUGGGCCCCAACAAGCUCCAAGGACACCAAGUUUCUUCCUUCCUUGCUUGGGUCCGUCCAACGCACCAGGGGUUUUCAAGGCGGUUUUGUGUAGAACAGCCACGGAGCAGAAACAACGAACAUGCUACUUUAGCAACAGCGUGGCACUUUUGCUUGUGUCUUGUUAUCUUUUUGAAAUGGUGAAGCUGACAAUGAUAGCCUGUAUCACUGAUGGCCUUCCAUUGGCGGAGUGCUUAGAUGGUGGUUAUGUGAAGGAUGUUGUCUUCUACAAGCAGCAAGAAAAAUUGUUGUUCAAAAACAUAUCUAAAGGCCAACAUGAAUCAUCAAGACUGUCAACUGAAACUGGACCAUACUGUUCCAGGUCAAGGUAUGUAUUUACAUUUUUUGCUUUCAGCAAGAUGAGGAUAAUGUGACUGUUUGUGUGCGCGCGUGCUAUAUUAUACAUUUUCGCUUUCAUCAAGAUGAGGAUACUGUGAGUAUUUGUGUGCGUGCGUGCUAUAUGAUACAUUUUUGCUUUCAUCAAGAUGAGGAUACUGUGAAUGUUUGUGGGUGCUUUAGUGGUUCUAGGUUAUUGUAGUAGUAUAACUAGGCUUCGUUUACACAAAAUCCAAAUAGAAUUUAGUUUGGAGCUGGUCAAGACAUGGUGUAGUAUUAUAACCUAUUAAUUUGGUUGGACUGGUCAAGUGUUCUAUUAAUUCUUGUUGCAGUAUUCAUUCUGUAGUAUGUACUAGCUCUUAGACAAGAUAAUUGUUUAGCCCCUGAUUUCUUAGCUACUGGUUGGUCCUGUAAAGCUACAUCCUUGCUUUCCGAUUAGUGUUAUUUGAAUCUAUAGCAGUGGAUAUGCGUAGAAGAUCCGCUAAUUUGGGUUUUUUCCCUUUAUUUAUCAUGUGAUGGCCAUUGUCGGAGCUUUGCCGCCUUCAUCUCGACUCCGUCGGGGUUCCAGGUUCACACUUCACCGCUCUCCCCCUGUGGCCCGGUGAUUUGUGGCGGCUGCGGGGUCUUCCCUGCUUUGGUGGUGGCCGGCAGGCGUUUGCCCGGCCAGAUCUGGCGCGGUGCAGGACCUGUGGUGCAUGGCCUGGUUUAUGGGGGCGGGGGACACAUGGGUCCUUGGUCCGGCAGCGUCGGCAGGACGCUGUGCGCCCGUCUGCUUUCUUGCUAGAUACGUGUUUAGGAAAAAUCUACAAUACUCCUAAAAGGUUUAUACAUCAAUUGCAACGGGUUUUAGGAAUGCAUCACUAUAUUGAUUUUGGUUUAUACAUGAACGGCAGAGAGUUUUAUAAAUGUAUCAUUAUAUUGUUUUGGGUUUAUAUAUGAAUUGCAAAAUGUUUUAGCCAUGUGAAAAUCAGAGCUCAGGUGGCAGGUGAUUUUUUUUCUUGCUUCUAAUGGUAGGAUGAUGUUCUGUAUACUAAAAAGGACUCGUGCA